rnacentral:rRNA from 1 species
UCAAGCUAAUAAGAGCACAGGGUGGAUGCCCAGGCACCAAACGCCGAUGAAAGACGUGGCAAGCUGCGAAAAGUCACGGGGAACCGCAAGCAGGUAUUGAUCCGUGAACGUCUGAAUGGGGAAACCCGGCGGGUUAACAGCCCGUCACUAUUAACUGAAUCAAUAGGUUAAUAGAGGGAACGCGGGGAACUGAAACAUCUCAGUACCCGUAGGAAGAGAAAAUAAAGAAUGAUUUCCUAAGUAGCGGCGAGCGAACGGGAAAGAGGCCAAACCGAAGGGCUUGCUCUUCGGGGUUGUGGAUCAGCAAAAAGGACGGAAGACCUUAGCAGAAGAGGAUUGGAAAGUCCCGCCAGAGAGGGUAAAAGCCCCUUACGCGAAAAGGUCAAACGACGAGCUGACACCAGAGUACCGCAGGACACGAGAAAUCCGGUGGGAAGCCGGGAGGACCACCUCCCAAGCCUAAAUACGAAUUGGUGACCGAUAGCGCAUAGUACCGUGAGGGAAAGGUGAAAAGAACCCCGGGAGGGGAGUGAAAAAGAACCUGAAACCCUGUGUUUACAAGCAGUGAAAGUGCGAGCAAGGCACGAUCACGUACUUUUUGUAGAACGGACCGGCGAGUUACGUUAUGCAGCAAGGUUAAGAACUGAAGGUUCGGAGCCGAAGCGAAAGCGAGUCUGAACAGGGCGAUAGUUGCAUGACGUAGACCCGAAACCGGGUGACCUAUCCAUGAGCAGGUUGAAGUGGAGGUAAAGCUCCAUGGAGGACCGAACCAGACGUCUGUUGAAAAAGGCGGGGAUGACUUGUGGAUAGGGGAGAAAUUCCAAUCGAACCCGGAGAUAGCUGGUUCUCCUCGAAAUAGCUUUAGGGCUAGCCUCAUGGAUCAUUGGUGGGGGUAGAGCACUGAAUGUGCGCGGGGGCCACAAAGCCUACCAAACGCUAUCAAACUUCGAAUACCAUACAAUGCAGACCAUGGGAGUCAGUCCGCGAGAGAUAAGUUCCGCGGGCAAAAGGGGAACACCCCAGAUCAACCGCUAAGGUCCCCAAGUUCACGUUAAGUGGAGAAGGAUGUGGAAUUGCACAGACAACCAGGAUGUUGGCUCAGAAGCAGCCACACAUUUAAAGAGUGCGUAAUAGCUCACUGGUCGAGUGAUUGUGCGCCGAAGAUGUCCGGGGCUAAACGUGACACCGAAGCGAUGGGCGCAUCUGAAGAAGAUGCGCGGUAGAGGAGCAAUGUGCAGAGGCAGAAGCCGUAUCGAGAGGCACGGUGGACACUGCACAAGAGAGAAUGCCGGUAUGAGUAGCGAGAGGCAUGCGAGAAACAUGCCCGUCGAAAGCCCAAGGUUUCCUGGGGAAGGUUCAUCCGCCCAGGGUAAGUCGGGGCCUAAGCCGAGGACGGAAGUCGUAGGCGAUGGACAGCAGGUGUAGAUUCCUGCACUACCGAUGGAAUGAAGCAGUGACACAGAAGGAUAACUCGAGCAGGGUGAUGGUCAACCCUGUGCAAGCAUUGAGGUUGGGUUGUAGUGAAGUACGCAACCCUAUAAGCUGAGGUGUGAUGCGGACCGAAAUUUCAGUAGGGAAGCGAGUGAGUUCACGCUGGCGAGAAAAGCUGCUAGUACAUCCAAAGGUACCCGUACCGGAAACCGACGCAGGUGGGCGAGGAGAGAAUCCUGAGACGAACGGGAGAACCCUUGUUAAGGAACUCGGCAAAAUGACCCCGUAACUUCGGGAUAAGGGGUGCCUGCGAGAGCAGGCCGCAGAGAAUAGUCACAAGCGACUGUUUAGCAAAAACACAGGUAUCUGCGAAAGCGAGAGCUGACGUAUAGGUGCUGACACCUGCCCGGUGCUGGAAGGUUAAGGGAACAUGUUAGAGCAAUCGAAGCAUCGAACCGAAGCCCCAGUAAACGGCGGCCGUAACUAUAACGGUCCUAAGGUAGCGAAAUUCCUUGUCGGGUAAGUUCCGACCCGCACGAAUGGUGUAACGACUUGUGAGCUGUCUCAACAGGGGGCCCGGUGAAAUUGAAGUAUGGGUGAAGAUGCCCAUUACCCGCGACUGGACGGAAAGACCCCGUAGAGCUUUACUGCAGCCUGAUAUUGAGUUUCGGUAACUGAUGCACAGGAUAGGUGGGAGUCUGAGAGACAUGGGUUUCGGCUCAUGAGGAGACGAUGUUGGGAUACCACUCUUCGGUUACUGAAAUUCUAACAUAGCUCUGUGAAACCAGAGGAUGGACAGUGUCAGGUGGACAGUUUGACUGGGGCGGUCGCCUCCGAAAGAGUAACGGAGGCGCCC